rnacentral:rRNA from 1 species
CCUUAGAGUUUGAUCCUGGCUCAGGACGAACGCUGGCGGCGUGCUUAACACAUGCAAGUCGAACGGGGUGUUUAUUUCGGUAAACACCAAGUGGCGAACGGGUGAGUAACGCGUAAGCAAUCUACCUUCAAGAUGGGGACAACACUUCGAAAGGGGUGCUAAUACCGAAUGAAUGUAAGAGUAUCGCAUGAGACACUUACUAAAGGAGGCCUCUGACAUAAGCUUCCGCUUGAAGAUGAGCUUGCGUCUGAUUAGCUAGUUGGUGAGGGUAAAGGCCCACCAAGGCGACGAUCAGUAGCCGGUCUGAGAGGAUGAACGGCCACAUUGGGACUGAGACACGGCCCAGACUCCUACGGGAGGCAGCAGUGGGGAAUCUUCCGCAAUGGGCGAAAGCCUGGCGGAGCAACGCCGCGUGAACGAUGAAGGUCUUAGGAUCGUAAAGUUCUGUUGUUAGGGACGAAGGGUAAGGAUCAUAAUAAGGUUUUUAUUUGACGGUACCUAACGAGGAAGCCACGGCUAACUACGUGCCAGCAGCCGCGGUAAUACGUAGGCGGCAAGCGUUGUCCGGAAUUAUUGGGCGUAAAGGGAGCGCAGGCGGGAAACUAAGCGGAUCUUAAAAGUGCGGGGCUCAACCCCGUGAUGGGGUCCGAACUGGUUUUCUUGAGUGCAGGAGAGGAAAGCGGAAUUCCCAGUGUAGCGGUGAAAUGCGUAGAUAUUGGGAAGAACACCAGUGGCGAAGGCGGCUUUCUGGACUGUAACUGACGCUGAGGCUCGAAAGCUAGGGUAGCGAACGGGAUUAGAUACCCCGGUAGUCCUAGCCGUAAACGAUGGAUACUAGGUGUGGGAGGUAUCGACUCCUUCCGUGCCGGAGUUAACGCAAUAAGUAUCCCGCCUGGGGAGUACGGCCGCAAGGU